rnacentral:rRNA from 1 species
AGCGAACGCUGGCGGCAGGCUUAACACAUGCAAGUCGAACGAACUCUUCGGAGUUAGUGGCGGACGGGUGGGUAACACGUGGGAACGUGCCUUUAGGUUCGGAAUAACUCAGGGAGACUUGUGCUAAUACCGAAUGUGCCCUUCGGGGGAAAGAUUUAUCGCCUUUAGAGCGGCCCGCGUCUGAUUAGCUAGUUGGUGAGGUAAAGGCUCACCAAGGCGACGAUCAGUAGCUGGUCUGAGAGGAUGAUCAGCCACAUUGGGACUGAGACACGGCCCAAACUCCUACGGGAGGCAGCAGUGGGGAAUCUUGCGCAAUGGGCGAAAGCCUGACGCAGCCAUGCCGCGUGAAUGAUGAAGGUCUUAGGAUUGUAAAAUUCUUUCACCGGGGACGAUAAUGACGGUACCCGGAGAAGAAGCCCCGGCUAACCUCGUGCCAGCAGCCGCGGUAAUACGAAGGGGGCUAGCGUUGCUCGGAAUUACUGGGCGUAAAGGGAGCGUAGGCGGACAUUUAAGUCAGGGGUGAAAUCCCGGGGCUCAACCUCGGAAUUGCCUUUGAUACUGGGUGUCUUGAGUAUGAGAGAGGUAUGUGGAACUCCGAGUGUAGAGGUGAAAUUCGUAGAUAUUCGGAGGAACACCAGUGGCGAAGGCGACAUACUGGCUCAUUACUGACGCUGAGGCUCGAAAGCGUGGGGAGCAAACA